rnacentral:rRNA from 1 species
UACGAAGGGUGCAAACGUUGCUCGGAAUUAUUGGGCGUAAAGCGCACGUAGGCGGCUUGGCAAGUCGGAUGUGAAAUCCCUCGGCUCAACCAAGGAAGUGCAUCCGAAACUGCUAAGCUUGAGUACUUAAGAGGAUCGCGGAAUUCCCGGUGUAGAGGUGAAAUUCGUAGAUAUCGAGAGGAACACCAGUGGCGAAGGCGAGUCCCUGGACAACACCUGACACUGAGGCACGAAAGCUAGGGGAGCAAACAGG